rnacentral:lncRNA from 1 species
GGGGAAGACAGGUUGAGGUGGGGCAGUGAAUUCACUGAGAGAUUGGGAAGAGAAUUAAGAUAAUAUCAGUAAUACCAUCUGCCGUAAUAGAAGGAAUCAAUGAUGGGCAGGACAUAUUCAAUAAGAAUGCUGAAGAAGGUGCCAAGGAAACACAUGUGCAACCAAGUACCAGUGAGAACGUUGUGCAGGGGGAGGGGGAGGAGACAGUGGUAAUCCACCCAUUGCAAGUACUAUUCAUGUACAGGUAUCUAUAUAAUGUUAUCAAUGACUGUCCUUUGAUUGAAAAAUGGCUAAAAGUUAAAAGUACAAAUUAUUUAGUUCAGAUGCAUGCAAGCAGAAAAUGUGUCAGGUGGAAAUGAAGUCCUUAUGAAAUCCCCCAGAAUCCAGCUAUGUUCACACUUUUGUUUAUAAAUGUUGUUUGUCUGUUAAGGAUUAAAAAGGAUUGGUACAAGUUUCCCAUAUGGCCAA